rnacentral:lncRNA from 1 species
AAUGCAUAUGGAAAAAAAUCAAUUAAAAGGAGAUUUGAGAAAAGAGGUCGGACUAGGUUUUAUUCAUACUCACGGUAUGACAGCUGUAUGAGUAUACUUAGACUGAGUUUCUAGCAACAUUACGGAAUAUUUCGAUAUUCAUUGAUGCCUAAGGAUGAAUGAUCAAAACAGAAAUGAUGUUAAUUAGACCCCGUUAACACUUGCACGGAAUUGAAAUAAAAUCGAUCUCUGAAGAGCAUCUCGCGUUUUCGAUCUUUUAAGAACUUGUGCGUUUACAUUUAGUAUACAUUGCAUAUCUAAAAUAAUCGGUCUAACCAUUUCGAUAACAAAAAAUCGUAGAAAAUUGAAUAAGGA